rnacentral:rRNA from 1 species
AUAAGGAGUCUGACCUGCCCANUGAUACGUUUAAUGGCCGCGGUACCCUGACUGUGCAAAGGUAGCAUAAUAAUUUGCCCUAUAAUUGAGGGCUGGAAUGAAUGGUUUGACGGGGCAUAAUUGUCUCUUUAGAAAUAAUUAGAAUUUGAUUUUCAGAUGAGGAAGUCUGGAUAAAAUUGAAAGACGAGAAGACCCUAUUGAGCUUUAGUUAAAAAUUUAGUAGUUAAAUUAGGAACUUUGGUUGGGGCGACGGGUGAACAGAAAAAGCUUCAUUUAAUGGUAUUUUACUUACUGGUAUUGACCCAUUAUUUUUGGUUAAAGGAUAAAGUUACCGUAGGGAUAACAGCAUAAUCCUUUUAGAGAGUUCAUAUCGAUAGGAGGGUUUGUGACCUCGAUGUUGGACCAAAAUAACCUUAAGGUGUAGUAGCCUAAAGGGKUKGGUCUGUUCGACCAUUAAAAUUUUA